rnacentral:lncRNA from 1 species
UAUAUAUAUAUAUAUAUACAUACAUACAUAUAUUGAAAGAAGCAUGAAUUUCAGAAUCCCACCGACCCUAUUGACCCCACAUUACGUGAGAAUGCAUUGAAUAGCUGUUAACAACUCAUUUUCAGACAUCAGAUAUCUAGUACAGUCUGAACUCAUGAAUUCUCUCAGACAUCUUUAUAGUUCAUAUUGCAGAUAAGAUUGGAUCUGAUGCUGGUAGGAAGUACGCUUGCAGACACACAAACACACACACACACACACACACUUUUACCUGCUUUGGUUCAUCUGAAAUGCUUAUCUCAGAUUGUGUCUAUAGGGGUUUUGUUCCAGUGCAAUACAACUUGUCUAUGUCUCUGAUUGCAGAAUGCAGCUUUCAUGGCAAUAUCUAUAGCAAUGGGGAUGUCUUCAGCCCAGACGACUGCAACCGCUGUACAUGUGAACAUGGCAGAGUAGAGUGUAAUGUGAAUCCAUGUCCAUCACAGUCCUGUCAGCAACCACCCACUCCUCAGACAACAUGCUGCCCUGCCUGCCAAACAAGUACCCACAAUCCAUCUCUACUCCCACAUACCUACACCAAUGAAUGUAUAUAUCAAACUGGGCAUGAUUUUUGAGGCAAUAUAUUUAUAAAAAUAUAUUUUAAUAUAUGAAUAUAUUUAUAUAUUUGAAAUAUAUUUAACCUUUAAUCGUCCCUUGAUUAGAGCGAUGUUAAAGUCCCUUGGGGUCAGACAGACCCUAAGGUUUUGCAGAGCGAUUGCAUAAGGAAAUAUAAUAAUUUUUUUUUAUAUAUGACAAACUAUAUAAAAAUUUUUUAAUUUACUUCUCAGCUAUACAUUUAUGCUGUGUUUUUGUGGAUAUUUGGUAGUUUUUUACCUAUUUACUGAACAACUGCUCAGCUCUGCCAUAAAUUGGCUUAUGAAUUUUUUUUUUUAUCCCUUAAAUUAUGACCUUAAUGAAAUAUAAAAGGUUUUUGGAUAUUGGCCCAUGUGUUAGGGAUAGAAUACUGCCAUCUCCAGGUUAAUAGAAAAUCUUUAGGUAUUAUAGUUUAAGAAAGAAAGUUCAAUGACCACAUAUAUCCAGCAGAGGUCCAUUGGGACUCAUUUUCAGUUCAGUUUCAAGUCCAUUUUUCUUUAUGUUUCAACUUCUCCUCACAAAUUUAUGAUAUAUAUUUAAGCAUUCUAAAAUACAUAAAAAAAUCCAUAUUUUUGUAUUUAUUUUUGUUGUUGUCUGAUAUAUUUUGAAUUGUUUGCUUUUGCAAAUUAUUAUACAUAAAAUUGCAGAAAUGUUACGUCACCACUGAAAGACAUGACUGUAGUCACAUACUAUUUAUUUCAGAAAAUUAUUUAUCACAAAUGAUUGAUUUUUUAUAACAAGAGAUGAGUUUUAAAAAUAUAAAUAAAACCAACACAAUACAAAACAAAAC